rnacentral:rRNA from 1 species
AUGAACGCUGGCGGCGUGCCUAAUCCAUGCAAGUCGCGCGAACAGACGAGGAGCUUGCUCCUCUGACGUUAGCGGCGGACGGGUGAGUAACACGUGGAUAACCUACCUAUAAGACUGGGAUAACUUCGGGAAACCGGAGCUAAUACCGGAUAAUAUAUUGAACCGCAUGGUUCAAUAGUGAAAGACGGUUUUGCUGUCACUUAUAGGUGGAUCCGCGCCGCAUUAGCUAGUUGGUAAGGUAACGGCUUACCAAGGCAACGAUGCGUAGCCGACCUGAGAGGGUGAUCGGCCACACUGGAACUGAGACACGGUCCAGACUCCUACGGGAGGCAGCAGUAGGGAAUCUUCCGCAAUGGGCGAAAGCCUGACGGAGCAACGCCGCGUGAGUGAUGAAGGUCUUCGGAUCGUAAAACUCUGUUAUUAGGGAAGAACAAAUGUGUAAGUAACUAUGCACGUCUUGACGGUACCUAAUCAGAAAGCCACGGCUAACUACGU